AUAGUACCGUGAGGGAAUGGUGAAAAGUACCCCGGGAGGGGAGUGAAAUAGUUCCUGAAACCGUGCGCUUACAAUCCGUCAGAGCACCUCGUGUGUGUGAUGGCGUGCCUUUUGAAGAAUGAGCCUGCGAGUCAGCGGCAUGUCGCGAGGUUAACCCGUUGUGUGGGGUAGCCGUAGCGAAAGCGAAUCCUAAUAAGGGUGUUUUAGUGGCAUGUCCUGGACCCGAAGCGGGGUGAUCUACCCAUGGCCAGUGUGAAGCAGCUGUAAGAGGUUGUGGAGGCGCGAACCCACUUAGGUUGAAAACUGAGGGGAUGAGUUGUGGGUAGGGGUGAAAGGCCAAUCAAACUCCGUGAUAGCUGGUUCUCCCCGAAAUGCAUUUAGGUGCAGCGUUGUAGUAACUUGCCGGAGGUAGAGCUACUGGUUGGUUGAGCGGGACUAUCAUCUUAGCAAUGUCAGCCAAACUCCGAAUGCCGGUUUAAGUGUUCUAUGGCAGUGAGACUGUGGGGGAUAAGCUUCAUAGUCGAGAGGGAAACAGCCCAGAUCGCCGGUUAAGGCCCCUAAGGGUGUACUAAGUGGAAAAGGAUGUGGGAUCGCGAAGACAGCCAGGAGGUUGGCUUAGAAGCAGCCAUCCUUGAAAGAGUGCGUAAUAGCUCACUGGUCGAGUGGUUCUGCGCCGACAAUUCAGUGGGGCUCAAGUACACCGCCGAAGCCGCGGCACACUAUUUUUGUGUGGGUAGGGGAGCGUCGUGUAUGGGGUGAAGCAAUACUGUAAGGGGUUGUGGACUGUACACGAGUGAGAAUGCAGGCAUGAGUAACGAGUGAUAAGUGAGAAUCUUAUCCGCCGGAUGACUAAGGGUUCCUGGGUCAAGUUCGUCUUCCCAGGGUGAGUCGGGUCCUAAGGCGAGGCCGACAGGCGUAGUCGAUGGUUAACGGGUUGAUAUUCCCGUACCCGUGUAUAUGCGCCCAAGGGUGAAUCGGUGAUACUAACCACCCUGACCGCACCAUAUGAUGAUCCCUUCGGGGGUUGAUCGGUGGUGUGUGAUGCGUGGGGCCUAAACCGUAGUAGCCCAGUGAUGGGGUGACGCAGUGAGGUAGCCUAGCCACUUAUUGGAUUGUGGUGUAAGCGUGUGGCACGACGAUGAGUGAAAUGCUUGUUGUCACAAAGUGUGAGGCGUGAUGCGUAACCCCUGAAGGGGUGAUGUAGGUGAUCCUGUACUGCCGAGAAAAGCCUCUAGCGAGUGUGUACACGGCCCGUACCCGAAACCGACACAGGUAGUCAGGUAGAGAAUACUAAGGCGGUCGGGUGAACUGUGGUUAAGGAACUCGGCAAA
rnacentral:rRNA from 1 species